GUGCAACCCUGUCUCUACUAAAAAUACAAAAUGAGCCUGGUGUGAGGGCACGCACCUGUAAUCACAGCUACUCAGGAUGAGGCAAGAGAAUCACUUGAACCUGGGAGGUGGAGGUUGUAGUGAGCUGAGAUUGUGCCAUUGCACUCCAGCCUGGGGGACAAGACUGAAACUCGGUCUCAAAAAGCAAAACAAAAUUGCUACUAUACAUAGACUGCUUUACUGUUGUCAUUGCAGACCUGAUGUUUGUAGGUUUCAGUGAAUGUAAAAGAAUGUGUGGAUGAACGGUUUUGUUGUUGUUUUUGAGACAGAGUUUCGCUCUUGUCACCCAGGCUGGAGUGCCAUGGUGCAGUCUCGGUUCGCUGCAACCUCAGCCUCCCCAGUAGCUGGGAUUACAGGUGCCCACCACCACGCCCGGCUAAUUUUUAGUAGAGACGGGGUUCCAUCAUGUUGGCCAGGCUGGUGGUCUUGAACUCCUGACUGCAGCUGAGCCACUUUACCCGGCCAGAUGAAUGCAUUUUUUAAAUAUUAAACUUAGGUUAGAAGCACAUAAUAAAGCUGUACACAUCUCCUACAGUUUUCACUAAUGAAAAUUGGGAUGCCAUUUAAAUUACAAAGAAGUCUGAGGAGAAUGUCCUACAGACUAGUUUCACAUGCACAUGCUGUCCUUACAUGCUUUGUAUACAGACAUUAAACACAUCAGUACAGUACACAAAGUAACAAGUUCCACGAACUCAGCACCACAGGAAAGGUUUACAAAAAAUCCAAGAAGAUGGCUAUGCUGCCCAUUAACAAACUCCCACCUCCUAUCUUUGAGUUAGCCAUUGCUUCUUAAAACAAUGUAUCUCUUUAAAAGCCCUAUUUAAGAACAUUGGCCAACUCCUCCACUCUUCCCUCUGCUAAUCCUGCUCUGAUUAAGUGCUUGACAAAUCCAGUAUUUAUUGAUUUGGAAUUUCAAGUAAGUUUUUUGUUUUUAAGAGCACACAGGCAUUUAAGCCCUUAAACCAGAAGUAGUGAUAAAUACUGCUGCUUUUUAUUGAGGCUGAGUCUCCAACACCUAGGCUAUAGUUGCAGUAGCGUGAUCUCAGCUCACUGCAGCCUUGACCUCGGGCUCAAGUGAUUCUUCCACAUCAGCCUCCCAAGUAGCUAGGACUACAAGCCCAUGGUACCACCAUGGUGCCAUGCCGGGCUAGUUUUCUGUUUUUUUUUUGUUUUGUAGAGAUGGGGGUCUCUAUGUUGCUCAGGCUGGUUUCAAACUCCCGGGCUCAAGCAGUCCACUCACCGUGGCUUCCCAAAAGGCUGGGAAUACAGGGAUGAGCCACCAUGCCCAGCCAGUGGAUGCUUCUGACAUGUUAUGUGCAAACAAAGCCAGACCUCUCGGGCCUCAGGUUUGCUUCCUGGGAUGAUCCUAUUCUACUGAACUCACACUGAUCCCUAUAAAGCAAGCAGCAACAUCACGCUUUUGGGAAAGGCCAAUAUGUUUUCCUGUCGAUCAUACCAAUCCCAGGCGCCCUCCUAACAGGAGGGAUCCAGACUAUGGUGUCCAUCACUGAGCAUUCACCCAACAAAGCCACUUAAAAAAACAGCUCAGUAAACUAGAUUCAGAAGUGAUACUUGUUUGUAAGACCUAUCCACAUUACUCUGGCUUAAGAAGGCCUGAAAACCCAGAAAAACACCCAGCUAUGGGUGAAAAUACUUACAGGUGAAUGUUUUAGUCUAGGAUUAGCAUUAAGAUACUUCAGGAAAAAAAUAAUGGGGAGGAUGAGACAAGAACAACAAACUCAAGACAGCUAUGAGGAAAUAACCAUUACCCGUUAAGUUUUCCCUUUAAUGACCAUGAGGACAAAGUCAUGACAAUGCAGUCACCACCCACUUUUUGAAAAAAAAAAACAAUGCCAAUGUGGGAACCGACUGAGUCCCAAGCUUAUCUACUGUAGGAUCCAAGAGAGAGACAAUCUCAGUGUUGGAGAAUGCACUGAGAACAUAGAGGAGAAGGCUACAAAGAACACUGAGUAUACAAAUGCAUACAGAUAGAUGUGUAUAGAUAUAUAUACACAUAGAUUUCCUGUCCGCUACAGAGGUCUAGAAACAAUAACACCCCAGUAGCAGUAAGCCCUCAGAGCAUUCAGAUCUUGGUUUCUAAAUGCUGUCUUCUAGUAGAGGGAACCAGGGCUCCUUAGGAAAAUGGCUGAAUCAGGCUAGGCGUGGUGGGUCACGCCUGUAAUCUCAGCACUUUGGGGGGCUGAGGCGGGCGGAUCAUAAGGUGAGAAGUUCAAGACCAGCCUGGCCAAUAUGGUGAAACCCCAUCUCUACUAAACAUAAAUACAAAAAUUAGCCAGAUGUGGUGUGCACACCUGUAGUCCCAGCUACUUGGGAGGCUGAGGCAGGAGAAUCGCUUGAACCCACGAGGCGGAGGUUGCAGUGAGCUGAGAUGGUGCCACUGCACUCCAGCCUGGGCGACAGAGUGAGACUCCAUCUCAGAAAAAAAAAAAAAAAAGGCUGAAUCAGGACUAGGGGAAGGAAAAGAACAAGAUGAACCCCAAAUAUCUCAAUGUGUCAAGUUAGUCUUCAAAAAAUGAUGGGGACAAAUGACAGUUUUUGUGGACAUAGAAAAGCCCAUCCUAAAAUUUAUAAGGAAUCCUAAGGGACCCUGAAUAACCAAAAACAAUCUUGAAAACUUAGCUGAAGGACUCAUAGGUUAAGAUUUCAAAAUUUACUACAGUAAUCAAAUCAGUGUGGUACCAGCACAACAACAGACAUAUAGGAGGCUGGUUGCGGUGGUUCACGCCUGUAAUCCCAGCACUUUGGAGGCUGAGGUGGGAGGAUCACUUGAGCCCAGGAGUUCAAGACCAGCCUGAGCAACUUGGUAAAACCUUGUCUCUACAAAAAAAAAAAGAAAAAAUCAGCCAGGCAUGGUGACAUGGUGACACACGCCUAUAGUCCCAGCUACCUGGUAGGCUGUGAGCCAAGACUGCACCACUGCACUCCAGUCUGGGCAACAGAGUAAGACCCUGUCUCAAAAAAAAAAAAAGGCCAGGCGCGGUGGCUCACGCCUGUAAUCCCAGCACUUUGGGAGACCGAGGCGGGUGGAUCAUGAGGUCAGGAGAUCGAGACCAUCCUGGCUAACAAGGUGAAACCCCGUCUCUACUAAAAAUACAAAAAAUUAGCCGGGCGCGGUGGCGGGCGCGGUGGCGGGCGCCUGUAGUCCCAGCUACUCGGGAGGCUGAGGCAGGAGAAUGGCGUGAACCCGGGAAGCGGAGCUUGC
rnacentral:lncRNA from 10 species